rnacentral:rRNA from 1 species
CUGUCUUUAUUUUUUUAUUGCGAAGUUAUUUAAGGGGUGAAAAUACCCCUAACUUUAAACAUUAGACGAGAAGACCCUUAGAGUUAUAAUAAAAAGAAAGAUACUUAUCACCAAAAUUUUUGUUGGGGCAACAUAGUUUCAUUUAUUCAAUUAACUAUUUAAUUUGACUAGCUAGGCCGAGAGUAAUUCUAUGUAAAAGUUAACUACCUAAGGGAUAACAGCAUAAUUUUAUUAUUAAGAUUGUGACCUCGAUGUUGGAUUAG